rnacentral:lncRNA from 1 species
CCUGUCAUUAAUCUUUUCAUUCUGUAUUAACUAAUUCCUUUCUCAGGUGAUUUCUCUUUCCUAAUGACUUGUUGCUGUCUGUCUCCCAGACAUCUGUAGCUCCUCUUGGCUGACUCUUUGCUCUGGACUCAGAUAUCUACUCAGUUGUGGGAAGACAGAAAGGGCCCCCCUUGUUUAUCACCACAACCAGCCAUCUGCCCUGGCCUUUCCCUGUGACUCCCCAGGCAGCCUUGGCAGAGAUGAAACCAAAGAGACCAUUUAAGCAUGAGAUCACACGCUCUGGUAAACCUAGUAUAGAGUCUGACCUCCAUCUGGUGCCUAAAGAUGAAGCUGGGAGGCCAGAGGGGGUUCUGGGUCUGUUUUGCAUGGGGAGGUCUCAGCCCCUGCACAAGGAUGUCCUGACAUAUAAAUAUGUCUCUAUCCCCAUCUGCCUCAUUCUGGGCUCAGAGCUCUCUGCCUGCAGCUCUACAGAGGACACAAUGAUGUCCCCAUCCCAGCUCCUCUGCCUCCUGGUGCUCUGGGCUCAGGAGUCCAGGACAGCCAUUGUGAUGACCCAGACUCCAGCCUCCCUGUCUGUGGCUCUGGGAGGGAGUCACCAUCAGCUGCAGGGUCAGUCAGGGUAAUGGCAGUGCAUUAGCCUGGUACCAGCAGCCUCUAGGAAAACCUCCAAACUUCUUAUCUCAGGUGCUAAAUAUCUAGCAUCUGGGGUCCCUGCCUGCUUCAGUCACAAUGAGUCUGGGGCAGAUUUUACUCUCACAAUCAGCAGUGUGGAGGCUGAGGAUGAUGCACAUUACUACUGUCAGCAAGGUUAUGAUUCUCCCACAGUGAUGGUACCCUGGACAAAAACCUCCCCAGGCUGAGUAGCCCUUCAGCUCAGGGCAGCAGCAAUGUUUCAUUGACUAUCUCUUUAGGCUCCACAUCUGUUGUUAAGUUCUAAGGAAACACAUAUGUAGAAAAUUGGUUGUGUGCCAGAAAAGCAUGUACUCACUGAACCUAUAAAAUAAGCCAACUUCAUGCCAUAGCAUGACACUAUGUGAUGCCUACACAAGUGGGACAGAACACAUAGGGCUUCUCACUCCAUUAUUCGAUUGAAAUACUCACACCUUGACAGAGGAACCCGGACCCUCAGAGAGACUACUGAAUGGAUCUCUAAAGGGUUGAAUGCACUUGUUUUGUAUGUAUACUCUUAUGCUGAAGGGGACUGCCCCCUAACUGGCUUUUAAUCAAUGCACCUAGCAGGCACUGGUUUGGUUCUCUUUUCCUCUCAUUCUCAAUUUAUUGUAAAUUCAAAGUUGGAAUGUUACAAGACCCAUUGGAGAGAGAGAGAGUCUUUCUUGGCUCAUACAGGAGAAUAUAUACUUGAAAAUCUGUUACCCUAAAAAAGAACUACAUAUCUCAAGAGCCCACUGGCUUCCUGUCAUUACAUAUUUUGUGAAAACAGAGGAUAAAGUGAGUGGAAAUGGAGGCUAUGACUCUUUUUUUGGCGUGCAGUCAGCAGUGAUGGUGGUGAGAAGGGAUUUUGAAAAUGGCUAACCAGGCAUGGACAUGUGGUUUUUAUUUUGUAUCCUCUUUACUCCUUGAUUUCUAAUGAUCAUAUUAUAAACCUCCUAAAAUAUAAUAUAUUUAAUAUAAAGAUGUGCAUUUACAGAGAAUGACCAAAAUAUGACAGAGAAACAUCGUAUGAGCACAAGCUGUUGGGAAAAUGGUGCCAAUAAACUUCCUCAAAAAGACUGACA